CCUACGGGAGGCAGCAGUGGGGAAUAUUGGGCAAUGGGCGCAAGCCUGACCAGCAACGCCGCGUGAAGGGAGAAGGCUUUCGGGUUGUAAACCUCUUUUCCCAGGGACGAAGCAAGUUACGGUACCUGAGGAAUAAGCCACGGCUAACUACGUGCCAGCAGCCGCGGUAAUACGGAGGUGGCAAGCAUUAUCCGGAUUUACUGGGUGUAAAGGGCGGGUAGGCGGGGACGCAAGUCAGAUGUGAAAACCACGGGCUCAACCUGUGGCCUGCAUUUGAAACUGUGUUUCUUGAGUACUGGAGAGGCAGACGGAAUUCCUAGUGUAGCGGUGAAAUGCGUAGAUAUUAGGAGGAACACCAGUGGCGAAGGCGGUCUGCUGGACAGCAACUGACGCUGAGGCGCGAAAGCGUGGGGAGCAAACAGGAUUAGAUACCCCUGUAGUC
rnacentral:rRNA from 1 species